AGACUGUCUGCAGAGAGUACAUAUUCUCAGCUCCUACAAGCUAUAAAGCACUUAGGAUCCAUUGUGUCAGAGCGUGUAACAGGGACCAUCAACUCAACAUUUCCUACUAAAUACGGGCACAAUGAUGACCUUGAUAAGAACCGUUUGAGUGGAGUAAACACUGACUGGAGUGAGUUGAAGAGAAAAUAAGAGGUGGAAAAAAUACAGAUAGUGAGUAUAGACAACUUCUUUCAGUUUUGCUAUAAAACAGAGCAGAAAUUGAAAAUUGUAGCAGAAGCCGGACUUGGAAACAAGGAAUUUUUUAUUUUUCAAUUCAGAGCUUUAAUAGAUAUGGUUGUAUUCUGUUGGGAAUAAUCAUUUCAUCAAAGAGAAAUUGAUCAUAGAGAGUUAAUUUCCACAGAAAAGUUAUUGAGAAGGUGAGAGGAAAUAGCACUGAGAGUAAAACUGUAUCAACCAGGGGCAGGAGGGGAGCUGGGCCAAUGUAAUGGGAACAAAGAAGGAGGAGAUGAGUACUGGGGUAGCUCUGCUGAGAGAACCUACAGCACAAAGAUGGCAAAGCUCCUGUCUGACUUCUAUUCUGGUGGUGAAAUAUGAGGCAAGAUUAUCAACUGAGAGUCUGGGCUGGAAAGGAAAGGAUGCUGGUGCCUUAAGAAGGGAGAAGACCAGGUGCAUUGGCUCACGCCUGUAAUCCUACACUUUGGGAGGCCAAGGUGGGCAGAUCACUUGAGGUCAGGAGUUCGAGACCAGCCUGGCCAAC
rnacentral:lncRNA from 1 species